AUUGAACGCUGGCGGCAUGCCUAACACAUGCAAGUCGAGCGGAGCGGCGGACGGGCGAGUAAGUACUACGAAUCUGCCUGGUAGUGGUGGAUAACGUACGGAAACGGGACCUAAUCCAGCAUCCUAUCAGAUGAGCCUAGGUCGGAUUAGCUAGUGGGUGGGGUAAAGGCCUACCAGGGCGACGAUCCGGAACUGGUCUGAGAGGAUGAUAAGUCAAACUGGAACUGUGACACGGUCCAGCGGCCUACGGGAGGCAGGUGUGGGGAAGAUGGGACAAUGGGCGAAAGCCUGAUCGAGCCAUGCAGCGUGUGUGAAGAAGGUCUUCGGAUUUUAAAGCUCUUUAAGUUGUGAGGCGUUACCAACAGAAUAAGCACCGGCUAACUACGUGCCAGCAGCCGCGGUAAUAC
rnacentral:rRNA from 1 species